rnacentral:rRNA from 1 species
GUGGGGAAUAUUGCACAAUGGGCGCAAGCCUGAUGCAGCCAUGCCGCGUGUGUGAAGAAGGCCUUCGGGUUGUAAAGCACUUUCAGCGGGGAGGAAGGCGACAAGGUUAAUAACCUUGUCGAUUGACGUUACCCGCAGAAUAAGCACCGGCUAACUACGUGCCAGCAGCCGCGGUAAUACGUAGGGUGCAAGCGUUAAUCGGAAUUACUGGGCGUAAAGCGCACGCAGGCGGUCUGUCAAGUCGGAUGUGAAAUCCCCGGGCUCAACCUGGGAACUGCAUUCGAAACUGGCAGGCGAGAGUCUUGUAGAGGGGGGUAGAAUUCCAGGUGUAGCGGUGAAAUGCGUAGAGAUCUGGAGGAAUACCGGUGGCGAAGGCGGCCCCCUGGACAAAGACUGACGCUCAGGUGCGAAAGCGUGGGGAGCAAACAGGAUUAGAUACCCGAGUAGUCC